rnacentral:rRNA from 1 species
UACGAAGGGGGCUAGCGUUGUUCGGAAUUACUGGGCGUAAAGCGCGUGUAGGCGGGUCUUUAAGUCAGGGGUGAAAUGCCAAGGCUCAACCUUGGAACUGCCUUUGAUACUGGGACUCGUGUGCCGGGAGAGGUGAGUGGAAUUGCGAGUGUAGAGGUGAAAUUCGUAGAUAUUCGCAAGAACACCAGUGGCGAAGGCGGCUCACUGGCCCGGAACUGACGCUGAGACGCGAAAGCGUGGGGAGCAAACAGG